rnacentral:rRNA from 1 species
CCUACGGGCGGCAGCAGUGGGGAAUAUUGGACAAUGGGGGCAACCCUGAUCCAGCCAUGCCGCGUGUGUGAAGAAGGCCUUAGGGUUGUAAAGCACUUUCAGUGGGGAGAAAGGUUAUUCACCUAAUACGUAAGUAAAUUGAUGCUACCCACAGAAGAAGCACCGGCUAACUCCGUGCCAGCAGCCGCGGUAAUACGGAGGGUGCAAGCGUUAAUCGGAAUUACUGGGCGUAAAGCGCACGUAGGUGGUUUUCUAAGUCAGCUGUGAAAUCCCCGGGCUCAACCUGGGACUUGCAGUUGAAACUGGAAAGCUAGAGUAGGGUAGAGGGGUGUGGAAUUCCAGGUGUAGCGGUGAAAUGCGUAGAUAUCUGGAGGAACAUCAGUGGCGAAGGCGACACCCUGGACUCAUACUGACACUGAGGUGCGAAAGCGUGGGGAGCA